rnacentral:misc_RNA from 1 species
UCUCCGUUGGUGAACCAGCUGAGGGAUCAUUACAGAGUUAUCUAACUCCCAAACCAUUGUGAACUUACCAUAUGUUGCCUCGUCAGUACCUACCCUGUAGCCGGCUGCCGGCGGUCCUCUAAACUCUUGUUAUACUAUUGUAAUCUGAGCGUCUUAUUUUAAUAAGUCAACACUUUCAACAACGGAUCUCUUGGUUCUGGCAUCGAUGAAGAACGCAGC